rnacentral:rRNA from 1 species
ACGCUCGACACCUACAGGAGGCAGCAGUCGGGAAUAUUGCGCAAUGGAGGAAACUCUGACGCAGUGACGCCGCGUAUAGGAAGAAGGUUUUCGGAUUGUAAACUAUUGUCGUUAGGGAAGAGAAAGGACAGUACCUAAGGAGGAAGCUCCGGCUAACUACGUGCCAGCAGCCACGGUAAUCUGAGCGGGCUGGCAAGGC